rnacentral:rRNA from 1 species
UGGGGAAUUUUGGACAAUGGGGGAAACCCUGAUCCAGCCAUCCCGCGUGUGCGAUGAAGGCCUUCGGGUUGUAAAGCACUUUUGGCAGGAAAGAAACGUCAUGGGUUAAUACCCCGUGAAACUGACGGUACCUGCAGAAUAAGCACCGGCUAACUACGUGCCAGCAGCCGCGGUAAUACGUAGGGUGCAAGCGUUAAUCGGAAUUACUGGGCGUAAAGCGUGCGCAGGCGGUUCGGAAAGAAAGAUGUGAAAUCCCAGAGCUCAACUUUGGAACUGCAUUUUUAACUACCGGGCUAGAGUGUGUCAGAGGGAGGUGGAAUUCCGCGUGUAGCAGUGAAAUGCGUAGAUAUGCGGAGGAACACCGAUGGCAAAGGCAGCCUCCUGGGAUAACACUGACGCUCAUGCACGAAAGCGUGGGGAGCAAACAGG